UAGGGAAUCUUCGGCAAUGGGGGGAACCCUGACCGAGCAACGCCGCGUGAGUGAAGAAGGUUUUCGGAUCGUAAAGCUCUGUUGUUAAGGAAGAACGAGUGUGAGAAUGGAAAGUUCAUACUGUGACGGUACUUAACCAGAAAGGGACGGCUAACUACGUGCCAGCAGCCGCGGUAAUACGUAGGUCCCGAGCGUUGUCCGGAUUUAUUGGGCGUAAAGCGAGCGCAGGCGGUUAGAUAAGUCUGAAGUUAAAGGCAGUGGCUCAACCAUUGUAGGCUUUGGGAACUGUUUAACUUGAGUGCAGAAGGAGGGAGUGGAAUUCCAUGUGUAACGGUGAAAUGCGUAGAUAUAUGGAGGAACACCGGUGGCGAAAGCGGCUCUCUGGUCUAUAACUGACGCUGAGGCUCGAAAGCGUGGGGAGCGAACAGG
rnacentral:rRNA from 1 species